rnacentral:lncRNA from 8 species
AUGGGGGCAAGUUGUGGAGAAGUUGGCGUAGUGUGUUUGUGUGAGACUGGACCCUGCACACUAUACUCUGAAGCACAUACACAGACGCCGGUGAGAAGUGGUGUUCUAUAAUAUCAUUUUUUACAUCCAAGGGAAGAUACAGAAGCAUCAAUUAACCUGGACAAUAUUUAAGCAGGAUUCAAUCCAAAACUGCACUAUUACAGUGGGUUUUGACUCUUCAUUACAAUGCUUCACUCCAACGCUUCGCAUGAAAUUCGCAUACAGUGGAGCAGAGCUCAACUUUUCUACCAAUCCGCUAGCAGGGCUCUCUCCGCUCACCUUCCCACAAUCCCACACACAUUUCUCUGCGUGUGCCCUCGUUGAAAAAGAAUGGGGGCGGAACUUCUCCUGUUGAAUUCGUUGUUAGCGAAAACCGUACGCUAUAGUGCGCUUGACAUUUAAGUGUAAUAGUCAGUUGAGCCGACUUCUGCACCGUUUACUGCAAACGUGGGAACAUUGCCUUUAAAAUCUGCAUUGUUGACAAUGCGCAAUUGGAUUGAGUCCCGGCUUUAGUUUGUUAUGCCUCGUUGAAAUGCAUAUUUAUCUCUCCCUAUGCAUUUCAUCUACACACGUAUCAUGCUGUACACCACUCACGACUCUGUCUCUCUCUCUCUCUCUCUCUCUCUCUCUCUCUCUCUCUCUCUCUCAGGACACACUGAAAUGUGAACACUGUGGGAAAAACAGGGUAGUGAUAACCAGGUACUCAGAGGGAUAUGGCACAGAGGUAGGGUGUGUGUGUGUGUGUGUGUGUGUGUGUGUGUGUGUGUGUGUGUGUGUGUGUGUGUGUGUGUGUGUUCGUUCAAUGACACAAAUAUUGAUGUUACAAAACAUCAGUACGGUUUCCACUCAGUAUGGUUUAUUGAAAAUCCCGGCACUGCACAUAAUGUUGAAUGAUGAUGCACACAAACAUACUGAAGUAUUACCUUUGUCUAAAAUGUAGGUGGCUGAAACCAAUGAGUGAUUGUACUGCACAUGUGUACGUGUGUCUAAUUCAUGUGACUCAUACUGUGCAGGAAGAGUGUGCCCUGUCUGAUCCUCAGGGUGACAGCGAUGCAGACGCUGACAUCGAGGACACAGAUUGCAGACUACAGGAGCCAGGUUCUCUCCAGCGAAUCAGUUCGCGGAGACGGAAGCGACCACGAAUAGCACGGCAGGACACCACGGAGAGUGAGGACGAUGGGGGGAGGAGUCACAGGAGUCACCGCUGGAGCCUCAGACUCAGUCCCCACCGGGCUCACAACAGAACCUUACUAGAGGAGAGUGUGUCACAGGUCAGACCGUUAGUGAUCUGUCGGCCCAGUGUCAGAGGAGACGGUCAGGGUCCUCCAGUCGAAGGGCCCAGAACUGGCCCAAAAUGUCUCUGGUUCCUGUGGCCCUCGUCUCUCUCUCUGCCUGUCGUUCUCCUCCUCUCCAUCCCUCUCUCUCUCUCCUUAGUCAUCGUCAUCAUAUCUUUCCUGAUGCCUCGGGCCAGUACUUGA